AGAGUUUGAUCAUGGCUCAGAUUGAACGCUGGCGGCAGGCCUAACACAUGCAAGUCGAACGGUAACAGGAAACAGCUUGCUGUUUCGCUGACGAGUGGCGGACGGGUGAGUAAUGUCUGGGAAACUGCCUGAUGGAGGGGGAUAACUACUGGAAACGGUAGCCAAUACCGCAUAACGUCGCAAGACCAAAGAGGGGGACCUUCGGGCCUCUUGCCAUCAGAUGUGCCCAGAUGGGAUUAGCUAGUAGGUGGGGUAACGGCUCACCUAGGCGACGAUCCCUAGCUGGUCUGAGAGGAUGACCAGCCACACUGGAACUGAGACACGGUCCAGACUCCUACGGGAGGCAGCAGUGGGGAAUAUUGCACAAUGGGCGCAAGCCUGAUGCAGCCAUGCCGCGUGUAUGAAGAAGGCCUUCGGGUUGUAAAGUACUUUCAGCGGGGAGGAAGGGAGUAAAGUUAAUACCUUUGCUCAUUGACGUUACCCGCAGAAGAAGCACCGGCUAACUCCGUGCCAGCAGCCGCGGUAAUACGGAGGGUGCAAGCGUUAAUCGGAAUUACUGGGCGUAAAGCGCACGCAGGCGGUUUGUUAAGUCAGAUGUGAAAUCCCCGGGCUCAACCUGGGAACUGCAUCUGAUACUGGCAAGCUUGAGUCUCGUAGAGGGGGGUAGAAUUCCAGGUGUAGCGGUGAAAUGCGUAGAGAUCUGGAGGAAUACCGGUGGCGAAGGCGGCCCCCUGGACGAAGACUGACGCUCAGGUGCGAAAGCGUGGGGAGCAAACAGGAUUAGAUGCCCUGGUAGUCCACGCCGUAAACGAUGUCGACUUGGAGGUUGUGCCCUUGAGGCGUGGCUUCCGGAGCUAACGCGUUAAGUCGACCGCCUGGGGAGUACGGCCGCAAGGUUAAAACUCAAAUGAAUUGACGGGGGCCCGCACAAGCGGUGGAGCAUGUGGUUUAAUUCGAUGCAACGCGAAGAACCUUACCUGGUCUUGACAUCCACGGAAGUUUUCAGAGAUGAGAAUGUGCCUUCGGGAACCGUGAGACAGGUGCUGCAUGGCUGUCGUCAGCUCGUGUUGUGAAAUGUUGGGUUAAGUCCCGCAACGAGCGCAACCCUUAUCCUUUGUUGCCAGCGGUCCGGCCGGGAACUCAAAGGAGGCUGCCAGUGAUAAACUGGAGGAAGGUGGGGAUGACGUCAAGUCAUCAUGGCCCUUACGACCAGGGCUACACACGUGCUACAAUGGCGCAUACAAAGAGAAGCGACCUCGCGAGAGCAAGCGGACCUCAUAAAGUGCGUCGUAGUCCGGAUUGGAGUCUGCAACUCGACUCCAUGAAGUCGGAAUCGCUAGUAAUCGUGGAUCAGAAUGCCACGGUGAAUACGUUCCCGGGCCUUGUACACACCGCCCGUCACACCAUGGGAGUGGGUUGCAAAAGAAGUAGGUAGCUUAACCUUCGGGAGGGCGCUUACCACUUUGUGAUUCAUGACUGGGGUGAAGUCGUAACAAGGUAACCGUAGGGGAACCUGCGGUUG
rnacentral:rRNA from 1 species